AGUUCAGAGAACGCAGGUCGGCCAUGAAGGCAAUCAAAUUAUCGUUGUCAUUUGGGCUCCCGCAAGCGUCGCCCGGGUAGUCCCAGUCCACGUACACGCCCUGCGUAGAGAAGAACUGCAGCUGUGGGCAUAGGAGUGGCGUUGCAGCCAGCAUCGCUGACACUCGAUCCUUCAACUUCAUGCAGGCCGUGGCUUGGUUAGCGGGAUUCCUUGGCCAUGGUGGCAGUUCUGCGACGAGUGCCCCACCGCUUACCUGCUUGCGCCUCAAGUGGGCCGCCCCUCGCCGAUCGCCGAGGCCUUUGGAACCACUUUCCUCUGGCAAACUCGGGCAGCCCAAUCGACAAGAACAGCAGUUCCAGCCGAACUUAUAAAAGGCCCCGCACUACAGACCGGCUUCAGUGGGCACAGCAGGGGUGCUACAGCCGACAUGGCUGAUAUUCGUUCCUUCCCCUUCAUGCAGGAAGCCACUGGGAUAUCACGAAAGCCUUGGGUAUCAUCGGAGCUGCGCCUGCACGCCUGGCUGACAGCCGAAGAAUAAUUGUGCCGAUUUUCGCAUCGAUAACUGCGGACAAGCCACGUGACCACACUCUGGCUACAAAAUUACGGACACCAGUGGCUGUGCUGGCAUUCACGCAGUGGCAGCUGUGGACGGCAGACUGAACGCGUUCUUGCAAAAUUCUACGCUUGUUCACAGGUAUACCAAACAUGAAUCCCACUACGAGUUUAGGAGAACCAACUUCCUCAAGUUUAACUGCAGGAUGAAUUACGGGACACAACUGUUAAAUUGGCAAAUUCCUAAUGUGUUAAACCUUUAUCCUGCUCUGAUAGACUUCAUGGAAAACUGUUCCUCUUUGCCUGCUUACCGAAACCAGGCAAAGAGAUUUUUCUUAAAUCGUGUAUAAACCAGUUAGAAAUUUGUUUCCUUUGUUCUUUUUUGUCAAGUGAACAUAUUUGUCAUGUGAACAUUUUUUUUAUUGUCGUAUAGGAGAUCCAGUUAGGAUUACUUGCUUUGUUUUUUCUUUUCUUGGUCAAGUGAACAUGUUUGUAGGUAUUUUACAUUUUUAAUUAGAUUGAUUUGAAUGUACAGUGUAUGUAUAUUGCUGUAUGUGAAUUGUUAUAAUGUUCCUGUAAAAAAAAUUGUACUUCGCAACUUACCAUGUCGAAACUGUGCCUGCGUG